CGAGCAAGUGGAGGACCUGUUUCCCCACUCUCAUCCAUUCUGGCCUUGGACGGUGGCAGCUGUGAUGCACAUAUUUUCCGGUCUGCCUCCUGCACACCUCUCCCUUGCAGUCCUCUUUCUCUCUUCUCAUGGAUGAUGAAGUGGUGUCGCUAGAUGGAAAUAGUCCCAAGUCCUCCCUUGGGCCUCUGCGAUCCAAGCACGAACCAAACUGUCAGCCACCCCGACCUGUUACCUGAGAAACAGCAGAUGCUGCAAGGCCGAGAUUUUCUCCCAUCUCUUGGGUGUUUCUGUGAACACAGACUGUCGACUGCAGUUUGCAUGCUAAGGGUCCAUGAAAGAAGGAAGCCACUAUGUCCGCAGCUGGCAGGCCUCCUGAGGAGACGAGCUCCUGUCCGCCAGUCACUCAGGGUUGCGCCCUGCGCCAGUCAACUAUUCACGUGUCAGGGAGCGGAGCUGCGCAGUCAAACAGCCAAAUAUGCAAACGCCUCUCAAGACAUAAUUUUCCUGCCCAUACUGUGUGAUGCAGCGCAAAAGGACACAAGGGCACAAAACAAAAAAGG
rnacentral:lncRNA from 1 species